rnacentral:lncRNA from 1 species
GCCUGAUUUGCUGUCAGUGGACAACCCCCCUAUCACCCAGGUCUCCUGCACGGCUCCGUUCUGUGAUGGGGCGUGGGGGGAAAGGGGCAUCACAGUUCCCUCCCGCUCCUGAGGAUGGAAACGAAGUGGGCUACAGCUUCACCCACGUAAGGUUUUACACGGAGGGUAAGACAUAGGACCAGUCAGUAACUGAACAAGGUAAGUUCACAGGACUACCUAGAUAAAUCAGCUAGUUAAAUGCAUCCAGAAUGACGCAUCAAGAGCCUUUUCCUCUCUCCUCAUGCUUUUUGCAAAGGAAGUGCUUAGAGGGAGAGAGAAAUCAGGAUUUCAUGCAAAGUUCACUGUAAAUGAUGAAUCAUCAACAAGCUUUAGAUUCAACAUUUAGAUUGCUUUUUUUCCUUUUUUCGGUCUUUCGUUCUUCCAAAUGUCUUCGCUCUGCAAUAACCAUUUUACAGAGGAGAAGGGAGGUCAGCAGCCGCUGUUGCAUCUUGAACCGUGGGUUGUUUUCUCUUUGAGUGCAGGUGAGUGCUUACUGAUUUAUACUGUAUUUGACUUUCUGUCCUUCCCUUUUCUCCUUUUUUAUUAUU